CUUUUUCGUGUCUCUCCUUUAUUGUCAUUGCUUUCUCUCUGCAGCCAAAUUAGCCCUACAUUACUUCAAGGUCAUAUUCAAUGACAUCUAUGAAUCGCUUCAUCCAAGGUUUUCCUCUUGCAGUGAGAAAGGUAGAAUGUCAUAUGAACAGUGACAGCUUGCA
rnacentral:lncRNA from 1 species